CCUCAAUGUCCUCAUCUAUAAAGUAGGGUUUAAAGUGGCUGCCUCAGAGGUCAGUGUGAAGCUUAAUCAGGUGGUUCCUGAAGAUUGACUUUGUUGAGUAGCUAUUGUGUGCUGCUUUUGGCUCGAGAUCUCCGAAGAAGUGUCAGGAAUGGACAGGUUGGUUCUUUCUUCUGACUUAUCCCUGCUGAGACAAAUGUCAUCU